GCCAUGUAGGUAGCCUAGUGGACAUGGCAUCUGCCCGAACACUGUGGGUUCGAUUCCCAUCCCUGGACA